GACGAACGCUGGCGGCGUGCUUAACACAUGCAAGUCGAGCGGUAAGGCCCUUUCGGGGGUACACGAGCGGCGAACGGGUGAGUAACACGUGGGUGACCUGCCCUUAGCUCUGGGAUAAGCCUGGGAAACUGGGUCUAAUACCGGAUAUGACUCCAUGACGCAUGUUGUGGGGUGGAAAGCCUUGUGCGGCUGAGGAUGGGCCCGCGGCCUAUCAGCUUGUUGGUGGGGUGAUGGCCACCAAGGCGACGACGGGUAGCGGCCUGAGAGGGCGACCGGCCACACUGGGACUGAGAUACGGCCCAGACUCCUACGGGAGGCAGCAGUGGGGAAUCUUGCGCAAUGGGCGAAAGCCUGACGCAGCGACGCCGCGUGAGGGAUGACGGCCUC
rnacentral:rRNA from 1 species